UACGGAGGGUGCAAGCGUUAAUCGGAAUUACUGGGCGUAAAGGGCACGCAGGUGGCUUGGCUAGUCGGAUGUGAAAGCCCCGGGCUUAACUUGGGAAUUGCAUUCGAUACUGCCGAGCUAGAGUAUGGGAGAGGAAAGCGGAAUUCCCGGUGUAGCGGUGAAAUGCGUAGAUAUCGGGAGGAACAUCAGUGGCGAAGGCGGCUUUCUGGCCCAAUACUGACACUCAUGUGCGAAAGCGUGGGGAGCAAAC
rnacentral:rRNA from 1 species